rnacentral:rRNA from 1 species
UACAGAGGUGGCAAGCGUUGUUCGGAAUUACUGGGCGUAAAGGGCGCGUAGGCGGCUUGGUCAGUCCCGUGUGAAAUCCCUCGGCUCAACUGAGGAACUGCACGGGAAACUGCCUGGCUUGAGUUCGGGAGAGGGAAGCGGAAUUCCGGGUGUAGCGGUGAAAUGCGUAGAUAUCCGGAGGAACACCGGUGGCGAAGGCGGCUUCCUGGACCGGCAUUGACGCUGAGGAGCGAAAGCUAGGGGAGCAAACGGG